AGUGAACGCUGGCGGUAGGCCUAACACAUGCAAGUCGAACGGCAGCACAGUAAGAGCUUGCUCUUACGGGUGGCGAGUGGCGGACGGGUGAGGAAUACAUCGGAAUCUACUUUUUCGUGGGGGAUAACGUAGGGAAACUUACGCUAAUACCGCAUACGACCUACGGGUGAAAGCAGGGGAUCUUCGGACCUUGCGCGAUUGAAUGAGCCGAUGUCGGAUUAGCUAGUUGGCGGGGUAAAGGCCCACCAAGGCGACGAUCCGUAGCUGGUCUGAGAGGAUGACCAGCCACACUGGAACUGAGACACGGUCCAGACUCCUACGGGAGGCGGCAGGGGGGAAUAUUGGACAAGGGGCGCAAGCCUGAUCCAGCCAUACCGGGUGGGGGAAGAAGGCCUUCGGGUUGUAAAGCCUUUUUGUGGGGAAAGAAAAGCAGCAGGUUAAUACCCCGCUGUUCUGACGGUACCAAAAGAAUAAGCACCGGCUAACUUCGUG
rnacentral:rRNA from 1 species